rnacentral:rRNA from 1 species
GACGAACGCUGGCGGCGUGCUUAACACAUGCAAGUCGAACGGAAAGGCCCUGCUUUUGUGGGGUGCUCGAGUGGCGAACGGGUGAGUAACACGUGAGUAACCUGCCCUUGACUUUGGGAUAACUUCAGGAAACUGGGGCUAAUACCGGAUAGGAGCUCCUGCUGCAUGGGGGGGGUUGGAAAGUUUCGGCGGUGGGGGAUGGGCUCGCGGGUUAUCCGCUUGUUGGUGGGGUAGUGGCUGACCAAGGCUUUGAAGGGUAGCCGGCCUGAGAGGGUGAACGGCCACAUUGGGACUGAGAUGCGGCCCAGACUCCGACGGGAGGCAGCAGUGGGGAAUAUUGACCAAUGGGCGGAAGCCUGAUGAAGCAACGCCGCGUGCGGGAUGACGGCCUUCGGGUUGUAAACCGCUUUCGCCUGUGACGAAGCGUGAGUGACGGUAAUGGGUAAAGAAGCACCGGCUAACUACGUG